rnacentral:rRNA from 1 species
CCUACGGGAGGCAGCAGUAGGGAAUAUUGCUCAAUGGGGGAAACCCUGAAGCAGCAACGCCGCGUGGAGGAUGAAGGUUUUCGGAUUGUAAACUCCUUUUGUUAGAGAAGAUAAUGACGGUAUCUAACGAAUAAGCACCGGCUAACUCCGUGCCAGCAGCCGCGGUAAUACGGAGGGUGCAAGCGUUACUCGGAAUCACUGGGCGUAAAGAGCGCGUAGGCGGGAUAGCAAGUCAGAUGUGAAAUCCUAGGGCUUAACCAUAGAACUGCAUUUGAAACUGUUAUUCUAGAGUAUGGGAGAGGUAGGUGGAAUUCUUGGUGUAGGGGUAAAAUCCGUAGAGAUCAAGAAGAAUACUCAUUGCGAAGGCGACCUGCUAGAACAUAACUGACGCUGAUGCGCGAAAGCGUGGGGAGCAAACAGGAUUAGAUACCCGGGUAGUC